rnacentral:rRNA from 1 species
GACUAACGCUGGCGGCGCGCCUAACACAUGCAAGUCGCACGAGAAACCCUCGCAAGGAGGGCGGUAAAGUGCGAACGGUGAGUAAUACAUGGGUGACCUGUCCUCAAGAUGGGAAUAACCUCGCGAAAGCGGGGCUAAUACCCAAUGCCAUUUCGAUCCUACGGGAUUGGGAUGAAAGAUAGCUGUUACAGGCUGUUGCUUGAAGAGGGGCCCAUGCCCCAUCAGCAGUUGGUAGGGUAACGGCCUACCAAGGCGAUGACGGGUAGCUGGUCUGAGAGGACGACCAGCCACACUGGCACUGAGACACGGGCCAGACUCCU